rnacentral:rRNA from 1 species
UACGUAGGUGGCAAGCGUUGUCCGGACUUAUUGGGUUUAAAGGGUGCGUAGGCGGCUUUGUAAGUCAGUGGUGAAAUAUGGCAGCUCAACUGUCAGGGUGCCAUUGAUACUGCAGAGCUUGAGUACAGAUGAGGUAGGCGGAAUUGACGGUGUAGCGGUGAAAUGCUUAGAUAUCGUCAAGAACACCGAUAGCGAAGGCAGCUUACUGGGCUGUAACUGACGCUGAGGCACGAAAGUGUGGGGAUCAAACAGG